UACGUAUGGUGCAAGCGUUAUCCGGAUUUACUGGGCGUAAAGGGAGCGCAGGCGGCGCGCCAAGUCUGAUGUGAAACCCCGGGGCUCGACCCCGGGCAUGCAUUGGAAACUGGCGGGCUGGAGUGCCGGAGAGGUAAGCGGAAUUCCUAGUGUAGCGGUGAAAUGCGUAGAUAUUAGGAGGAACACCAGUGGCGAAGGCGGCUUACUGGACGGCAACUGACGCUGAGGCUCGAAAGCGUGGGGAGCAAACAGG
rnacentral:rRNA from 1 species